rfam:Clostridium puniceum strain DSM 2619 CLPTN_contig000148, whole genome shotgun sequence.
UUGAGCCGUAUGAGCUGGAAACUCUCACGUACGGUUCUUAGAUGAGGGAAAGGGAGAAAUCCCUUUUUCUUAAUCGAU